rnacentral:rRNA from 1 species
UGAUCCAGCCAUGCCGCGUGGGUGAAGAAGGCCUUCGGGUUGUAAAGCCCUUUUGUUGGGAAGGAAAGCCUNUCGGUUAAUACCCGGUNGGNNUGACGUUACCCAAAGAAUAAGCACCGGCUAACUCCGUGCCAGCAGCCGCGGUAAUACGNAGGGUGCAAGCGUUAAUCGGAAUUACUGGGCGUAAAGCGUGCGUAGGUGGUUNUUUAAGUCNGAUGUGAAAUCCCCGGGCUCAACCUGGGAACUGCAUUNGAAACUGGCNGGCUAGAGUGUGGUAGAGGGGGGUGGAAUUCCCGGUGUAGCGGUGAAAUGCGUAGAGAUCNGGAGGAACACCCGUGGCGAAGGCGGCCCCCUGGACCAACACUGACACU